CAACUGUAUGGCAACCCAACGUGGUAACCCAGCAUCCCCAUAGCAACCAAGCUGAGGCAAGUAGAAAAGCCUACUCAGACAGGCAGCCAUCUCAAGGCGGCUUGUCCAUGAGCUAUACAGCACCCAGAACAAAGUAUUGCUAAGAAAAAACAUUCUCUUUUAAUUCAUUGUCUUGUGCUUGUACCACACCAGCAGUCAGUCUCUAAUAAUGGACAGCUUCCAGGUACAAUAAGUAAUGUGGACAAAAGGACACAGGACCCAAGCUGAGAUAUCAAAAGUAUCAACACUAUUUUAGCUUCUUUGGAAAUUUCAAAUUUGCUUCCAGUUGUGAUAUGGAUGGAAUUCAGUAGCAGUGCUAAUUCUCUAGUGCAGGGGCCUGCGUGCUUUGCUUAAAUUAUCCUGUUGUUGAGCACCAAGUAUAUUGAUGGCAAGUCGACACGAUACAUGUUACUGUAUAUUGGUGCGGGGAGGGAUUUCCUGACUGCAAGCGCUGUUUGAUGGUGGAACUGCCUCAGGCCGUGGUUGGGCUCUUCUUCACUAAGGUUUCAAACAGAAACUGGACAGCUGUCUGUCAGGGAGGCUAUAGCAGUUUCUAGCACUGAGCCAGGGCGGCUGGAGUAAAAGAUCUCCAAGAACACAAUGGUUUAUAAACCAGGAGAAAUCCUCAGCACAUCAAAGCAGUGAAGUUCAGAGAGGAGCUUCUGCCUUCCGGAGGGAACAGAAACCUGCAAUCUUCAGCUUUAGGUCUGAAUACUUGUGUGGCACUUCACCAUGUCUUCAAGUCAUUCAGGAUGUGGUUCUUCUGGAGCACCUGGUGUCCCUCCAGUUCCAAAACCGGACAAUCCUUUUGUUCCAGUUCCAGAGAAAACUUGGCCUGAGGGGCCUCCCAAACCUAAAUAUCCUCAGCCUUUGAGGCCUCUGGUGCCUGGAAAACCUUGGCCAGAGGGCCCGCCUGCAUCUCCAGACCCUAGACAUCCACGAUCUCCAAAGCCACCGAAACCUUUAGGGCCUAACAACCCAGGACCAUUCCCUGGACCAUCCAGCCCUCCUAAGCCACCCCUCCCUGAUGAUCCUUAUCUGCCUUUUGCUCUGGUGCCUGUUGCACCUUGGCCACCACUGCCAGAGUGGGAUGGUUCAGGGAAUCCUCCUAAAGACCCUUCUAAUGAUGAUUAACUUUCUUCCAGUCAUGUUCUCCAGAGAUUUCUCUGACUACUAUAGAACAACAAAUUACUUCCUGCUGCAAAACUUUCCAUCACCUGAUGGUUCUUGGAAGUUGAGUGACUCCUGAAAGAGAAGAGGACUUUGGCUUACAAUGUUUGUAUUCCACUGAUGAACAACUCAAUGUUGGUGGCCAUGAACAUGCUGAGCAAAUAUCUGUCCACUUACCCACCACUAGUAUAGGAAUGUUUGUCUACUUGUCUACCUGAUCUGUACAUAUAUCUACUGUCCAGCUACUCACCCAUCUAAACUUUCUGUCUGAUCCAGAAUGAUUAUUUUUCCUGCUUUAUUACAUGUUGACAGUUGAUUCUUACUGCUACUUCUAUUAUAUAAUAAGCUUCCAGUAAAAUAUCUGGAUUGGAAAUAUACUUUGUCUGCUCUAAUGCAACCUCCUCAAUAUAUUGGAUUGAUUAAGUGCCA